rnacentral:rRNA from 1 species
UACAGAGGGUGCGAGCGUUACUCGGAAUUACUGGGCGUAAAGCGUGCGCAGGCGGUCUUUUAAGUCAGAUGUGAAAUCCCCGGGCUUAACCUGGGAACUGCGUUUGAAACUGGAAGGCUUGAGUGUGGCAGAGGGGGGUGGAAUUCCACGUGUAGCAGUGAAAUGCGUAGAGAUGUGGAGGAACACCGAUGGCGAAGGCAGCCCCCUGGGCUAACACUGACGCUCAUGCACGAAAGCGUGGGGAGCAAACAGG